CGGUCGCCUCCUAAAGAGUAACGGAGGCGCUCAAAGGUUCCCUCAGAAUGGUUGGAAAUCAUUCAUAGAGUGUAAAGGCAUAAGGGAGCUUGACUGCGAGACCUACAAGUCGAGCAGGGUCGAAAGACGGACUUAGUGAUCCGGUGGUUCCGCAUGGAAGGGCCAUCGCUCAACGGAUAAAAGCUACCCCGGGGAUAACAGGCUUAUCUCCCCCAAGAGUUCACAUCGACGGGGAGGUUUGGCACCUCGAUGUCGGCUCAUCGCAUCCUGGGGCUGUAGUCGGUCCCAAGGGUUGGGCUGUUCGCCCAUUAAAGCGGUACGCGAGCUGGGUUCAGAACGUCGUGAGACAGUUCGGUCCCUAUCCGUCGUGGGCGUAGGAAAUUUGAGAGGAGCUGUCCUUAGUACGAGAGGACCGGGAUGGACAUACCUCUGGUGUACCAGUUGUCGUGCCAACGGCAUAGCUGGGUAGCUAUGUAUGGACGGGAUAAGUGCUGAAAGCAUCUAAGCAUGAAGCCCCCCUCGAGAUGAGAUUUCCCAACUUCGGUUAUAAGAUCCCUCAAAGAUGAUGAGGUGAAU
rnacentral:rRNA from 1 species